AGUUUUGACAUUGACUGACAGCUGACUCGGUAUAUAAAGAUACUAAGCUAUUAAGUUUACUAACUAUUCAGUUAGCAUUUUUGUAACUCAAACCAACAAGUAAAUACACUAUUGAACCAAAUAUCAUGAAAGCAUAUCCACUUCUGAAGAUUAGUCUUCUGGAAUCAUAAAUUAUAUAGUAAAAUGGCAACUCCGUCUUCUGAUACUGCAGAUCAAUUUGAUCAAUUUGAUGACGAAGAAGCAGAACAACAAUUGGGUGCUACAGCAUCUGGUAGGAAAAGACUUUUCAGCAAAGAACUGCGAUGUAUGAUGUACGGUUUCGGCGAUGAUAAGAAUCCAUAUACAGAAAGCGUCGAUUUCUUAGAAGAUCUUGUCAUUGAAUUUAUUACAGAAACUACACAUAAAGCUAUGGAAGUUGGUAGACCAGGAAGGGUUCAGGUGGAAGAUAUAAUAUUUUUGGUGCGUAAAGACCCUCGAAAAUAUGCAAGAGUAAAGGAUUUGUUAACUAUGAAUGAAGAGCUCAAGAAAGCUAGAAAGGCUUUUGAUGAAGUCAAAUAUGUUGAAGACCAACAAUAGUGAUUGAUCGACAUGAUGCUCUCAGACUGAUGUGAAUAAAUUGCUUCACAUGAGAUAAUGUUCUGGUAAUGACAUUCUCUAUGGAAUCCAUCAAGUAUAGGAGACAUUCCGUUUAAUAAAAACAUCCUCAAGCAAAAAAAAAACCUCAUUUAAGACUGUAUUUGUACAAUAAAACUAAUGAUAUUAACUUAA